rnacentral:rRNA from 1 species
UACGUAGGGUGCAAGCGUUGUCCGGAAUUAUUGGGCGUAAAGAGCUCGUAGGCGGUUUGUCACGUCGAUCGUGAAAACUUGGGGCUUAACCCUGAGCUUGCGGUCGAUACGGGCAUGACUGGAGUUCGGCAGGGGAGACUGGAAUUCCUGGUGUAGCGGUGAAAUGCGCAGAUAUCAGGAGGAACACCGGUGGCGAAGGCGGGUCUCUGGGACGUAACUGACGCUGAGACGCGAAAGCGUGGGGAGCAAACAGG